rnacentral:rRNA from 1 species
UACGUAGGGUGCAAGCGUUGUCCGGAAUUAUUGGGCGUAAAGAGCUCGUAGGCGGCUAGUCGCGUCGGCUGUGAAAACCUGGGGCUCAACCCCGGGCCUGCAGCCGAUACGGGCUAGCUAGAAUUCGGUAGGGGAGACUGGAAUUCCUGGUGUAGCGGUGAAAUGCGCAGAUAUCAGGAGGAACACCGGUGGCGAAGGCGGGUCUCUGGGCCGAUAUUGACGCUGAGGAGCGAAAGCGUGGGGAGCGAACAGG